ACGAAAGUCUGACGGAGCAACGCCGCGUGAACGAUGAAGGCUUUCGGGUCGUAAAGUUCUGUUGUCAGGGAAGAACAAGUACCGGAGUAACUGCCGGUACCUUGACGGUACCUGACCAGAAAGCCACGGCUAACUACGUGCCAGCAGCCGCGGUAAUACGUAGGUGGCAAGCGUUGUCCGGAAUUAUUGGGCGUAAAGCGCGCGCAGGCGGUUCCUUAAGUCUGAUGUGAAAGCCCCCGGCUCAACCGGGGAGGGUCAUUGGAAACUGGGGAACUUGAGUGCAGAAGAGGAGAGCGGAAUUCCACGUGUAGCGGUGAAAUGCGUAGAGAUGUGGAGGAACACCAGUGGCGAAGGCGGCUCUCUGGUCUGUAACUGACGCUGAGGCGCGAAAGCGUGGGGAGCGAACAGGAUUAGAUACCCUGGUAGUCCACGCCGUAAACGAUGAGUGCUAAGUGUUAGAGGGUUUCCGCCCUUUAGUGCUGCAGCAAACGCAUUAAGCACUCCGCCUGGGGAGUAC
rnacentral:rRNA from 1 species